rnacentral:lncRNA from 1 species
CAACUUUGCUAUCUUAGAACGGAUCACCAGUGAAAGAGGGGAAGUUGCUACUGUGAUGAAUUCUGCCAUGUGGUACCAGACUGCUGCCCAGACCACAGUGUCCUCUGCAACCCUGGUCAAAGGUGCCUACAUGUUCCUUCUAGCUUUGUUUCCCUGAUGUUCCUUGCCACCUGCUACUCCUCUCUGAGCUACUUUUCCAGCUUCUCAGAUGACCAAGAUGGUGCUGCCGAUGGUGUUGAGGACGGAGAACCCACCAAGCCCCGUUAGGAGCCACCUAGACUGGAUGCAGAGCACAGCCCAUCAGAAACUCAAAAGAAUGCUACCUUUGUCUCUCACCCACCUGUGCCCUGGAAGCUUUCUCCUGGCUUCAAGUUGUCCCACCUUUGCUUGGCAUUGCCCUGCCUUUUCCAGACUGAACAAAUGUUCAUCUUACAUAUGUUGAUUGAUGUCUCAUGUCUCCCUAAAACAUAUGAAAUCAAGCUGUGCUCUGACCACCUUGGCACAUGUCGUCAGGACCUCCUGAGGCUGUGUCACGGACGCG